rnacentral:ncRNA from 1 species
CCUUGGUAUGGAAACCCACUAAGUGAUAACUUUCAAAUUCAGAGAAACCCUGGAAUUAAUAAAAAGGGGCAAUCCUGAGCCAAAUCCUGUUUUCCGAAACCAAAGGUUCAGAAAGUGAAAAAGGGAUAGGUGCAGAGACUCAAUGGAAGCUGUUCUAACAAAUGGAGUUGGCUGCGUUAGUAGAGAAAUCUUUCCAUCGAAAAUUCCGAAAGGAUAAAACGUAUACGUAUUGAAUACUAUAUCAAAUGAUUAAUGACGACUCGACUGAAUCUGUAUUUUUUAUAUGAAAAUGGAAGAAUUGGUGUGAAUAGAUUCCACAUUGAAGAAAGAAUCGAAUAUUCAUUGAUUAAAUGAUUCACUCCAUAGUCUGAUAGAUCUUUUCAAGAAUUGAUUAAUCGGACGAGAAUAAAGAUAGAGUCCCGUUCUACAUGUCAAUGUCGGCAACAAUGAAAUUUAUAGUAAGAGGAAAAUCCGUCGACUUUNNAAAUCGUGANGGUUCAAGUCCCUCUAUCCCCAAAAAGCAUAUUUGACCCCCCAACUAUUUAUCCUAUCCCCCUUUUCAUUAGCGGUUCAAAAUACCUUAUUCAUUUACUCUAUUCUCUUAGAAAUCGAUCUGGACGAAAAAGCCCUUUUCUUAUCACAAAUCUUGUGUUAUUUAUGAUAUAAACAUCUUUAGAAAUCCCCAUUUGAAUGCUUUACAAUCUAAAUAACAUAAAAACAAAUUUAUUAAAAAAAGAUAUGUACCCUUUCCUUCUUUUAAUUGACAUAGCCCACUUUUUCUCAUAAAAUGAGGAUGCUACAUUGGGACUGGUCGGGAUAGCUCAGCUGGUAGAGCAGAGGACUGAAAAUCCUCGUGUC